UACGUAGGGUGCGAGCGUUAAUCGGAAUUACUGGGCGUAAAGCGUGCGCAGGCGGUUUUGUAAGCCAGAUGUGAAAUCCCCGGGCUUAACCUGGGAAUGGCAUUUGGGACUGCAAGGCUGGAGUGCGGCAGAGGAGACUGGAAUUCCUGGUGUAGCAGUGAAAUGCGUAGAUAUCAGGAGGAAUACCGAUGGCGAAGGCAGGUCUCUGGGCUGACACUGACGCUGAGGAGCGAAAGCGUGGGGAGCAAACAGG
rnacentral:rRNA from 1 species